CAAUAGCGUAUAUUAAAGUUGUUGCAGUUAAAAAGCUCGUAGUUGGACUUCUGCGGGUGGCGGCCGGUCGUGCUCGAAACGGGCGUGAACUUGGCGUGCUGCCCGCAUCUUUGGGGAGAUUGUGCGUGGCAUUAAGUUGUCGUGCAUGGGAUUCUCAUCAUUUACUGUGAAAAAAUUAGAGUGUUUAAAGCAGGCCUUUGCCUUGAAUACAUUAGCAUGGAAUAAUAAGAUAGGACCGUUGUCUAUUUUGUUGGUUUACAGAUGUCGGUAAUGAUUAAUAGGGAUAGUUGGGGGUAUUCGUAUUCAGUUGUCAGAGGUGAAAUUCUUGGAUUUUCGGAAGACGCACGACUGCGAAAGCAUUUACCAAGGAUGUUUUCAUCAA
rnacentral:rRNA from 1 species